rnacentral:rRNA from 1 species
AUUGAACGCUGGCGGCAGGCCUAACACAUGCAAGUCGAGCGGUUGAGGUAGCUUGCUACCGAUACAGCGGCGGACGGGUGAGUAAUACAUGGGAAUCUGCCUGGUAGUGGGGGACAACGUUUCGAAAGGAACGCUAAUACCGCAUACGCCCUACGGGGGAAAGGGGGGGAUCUUCGGACCUCUCGCUAUCAGAUGAGCCCAUGUCAGAUUAGCUUGUUGGUGAGGUAAAGGCUCACCAAGGCGACGAUCUGUAACUGGUCUGAGAGGAUAAUCAGUCACACGGGAACUGAGACACGGUCCAGACUCCUACGGGAGGCAGCAGUGGGGAAUAUUGGACAAUGGGCGCAAGCCUGAUCCAGCCAUGCCGCGUGUGUGAAGAAGGCCUUAGGGUUGUAAAGCACUUUCAGUGGGGAGAAAGGCCUUUUACUUAAUACGUAAGAGGAUUGAUGUUACCCACAGAAGAAGCACCGGCUAACUCCGUGCCAGCCGCCGCAGUAA